AACGAACGCUGGCGGCAGGCUUAACACAUGCAAGUCGAGCGCCCCGCAAGGGGAGCGGCAGACGGGUGAGUAACGCGUGGGAACGUACCCUUUACUACGGAAUAGCUCCGGGAAACUGGAAUUAAUACCGUAUGUGCCCUUCGGGGGAAAGAUUUAUCGGUAAAGGAUCGGCCCGCGUUGGAUUAGCUAGUUGGUGGGGUAAUGGCCUACCAAGGCGACGAUCCAUAGCUGGUCUGAGAGGAUGAUCAGCCACAUUGGGACUGAGACACGGCCCAAACUCCUACGGGAGGCAGCAGUGGGGAAUAUUGGACAAUGGGCGCAAGCCUGAUCCAGCCAUGCCGCGUGUGUGAUGAAGGCCUUAGGGUUGUAAAGCACUUUCACCGAUGAAGAUAAUGACGGUAGUCGGAGAAGAAGCCCCGGCUAACUUCGUGCCAGCCGCCGCCGUAAAAC
rnacentral:rRNA from 1 species